rnacentral:rRNA from 1 species
UAGGGAAUCUUCCGCAAUGGGCGAAAGCCUGACGGAGCAACGCCGCGUGAGUGAUGAAGGUCUUCGGAUCGUAAAACUCUGUUAUUAGGGAAGAACAAAUGUGUAAGUAACUAUGCACGUCUUGACGGUACCUAAUCAGAAAGCCACGGCUAACUACGUGCCAGCAGCCGCGGUAAUACGUAGGUGGCAAGCGUUAUCCGGAAUUAUUGGGCGUAAAGCGCGCGUAGGCGGUUUUUUAAGGCUGAUGUGAAAGCCCACGGCUCAACCGUGGAGGGUCAUUGGAAACUGGAGAACUUGAGUGCAGAAGAGGAAAGUGGAAUUCCAUGUGUAGCGGUGAAAUGCGCAGAGAUAUGGAGGAACACCAGUGGCGAAGGCGACUUUCUGGUCUGUAACUGACGCUGAUGUGCGAAAGCGUGGGGAUCAAACAGG